UUUUUUUUAUUUCCAAGAGAAACGAAGAAUUCGUACGAGUUUUACAAACCGGACGAUUUACUAACUUACUUAAGGAGCGUGAAGAUCUGGCCGGGCGUAGAUCUCUUGGUGUCUUUGUACAUACGUUCAACUUUUCCAUAUUGGAAGCAGAUAGAAGAUUGCGAACAGAACAGUAAUUUUGGAAAUCAAACUCCAUUCUGAGUUUGGCAAUCAAACACCAUUGUGAUGCCUUCUAAAGAUGCGGAAUCCUCCUAAGCUUAAAGUCAUAUUUGAAUAGUUCAAUCUCGAUACAAACAAAUUUUUUUAUACACAUCUUAUUUUAGAACACCUAACUUACAAAAUUUACGUAGAAUAUGGGAAUUGGAAAUUAAUAAAAGUGCAUUCUCAAUUGGAAAAUAUGUUUUCCCAAAUAUUUUGAUAUGUAAUAUGUUGAAUACAAUAUAAGCCUCUAACAAGUAUAGCCUAACACUGUAGAUGAAAAUGAAUAAAU